rnacentral:pre_miRNA from 1 species
AGUUAAAGUUUUCAUCCAUAUUUACGAUUAAAAACUAAUGUGGCUGACAGAAUAACCAGUCAACUACAUCUGGCGUAUCAUAUGUACCCUAUGCUGAUAUAUAAAGAUCAAUUUUUAAUAAUAAAAAUAGAUAAAAAUUUUAAUA